rnacentral:rRNA from 1 species
UGGGGAAUUUUGGACAAUGGGGGCAACCCUGAUCCAGCAAUGCCGCGUGUGUGAAGAAGGCCUUCGGGUUGUAAAGCACUUUUGUCCGGAAAGAAAACGCCGUGGUUAAUACCCGUGGCGGAUGACGGUACCGGAAGAAUAAGCACCGGCUAACUACGUGCCAGCAGCCGCGGUAAUACGUAGGGUGCAAGCGUUAAUCGGAAUUACUGGGCGUAAAGCGUGCGCAGGCGGUCCGCUAAGACAGAUGUGAAAUCCCCGGGCUUAACCUGGGAACUGCAUUUGUGACUGGCGGGCUAGAGUAUGGCAGAGGGGGGUAGAAUUCCACGUGUAGCAGUGAAAUGCGUAGAGAUGUGGAGGAAUACCGAUGGCGAAGGCAGCCCCCUGGGCCAAUACUGACGCUCAUGCACGAAAAGCGUGGGGGAGCAAAACAGGAUUAGAUACCCUGGUAGUCCACGCCCUAAACGAUGUCAACUAGUUGUCGGGUCUUCAUUGACUUGGUAACGUAGCUAACGCGUGAAGUUGACCGCCUGGGGAGUACGGUCGGCAAGAUUAAAAACUCAAAGGAAAUUGAGCGGGGUCAUAGCUGUUUCCUG